CAAUUGCAGGUGACAGUGUAAUCUCAAACAAGAAGCGGGAAGCAUUAUUGCCCGUAAAUGUAAACAAACUUUUUUGUCUUAGCGAUUGCCUGAACAAGAAGUAGGACUGAGUGGACUUGUAGGCGCUAAAGUUUUACAUUGUUUUGUUUUUGAGUGCAGUUA